rnacentral:rRNA from 1 species
UACGUAGGGGGCAAGCGUUGUCCGGAAUUAUUGGGCGUAAAGAGCGUGUAGGCGGCCAGAUAAGUCCGCUGUGAAAUCUCGAGGCUCAACUUCGAGCUGUCGGUGGAAACUAUCUGGCUAGAGUCCGGAAGAGGAGAAUGGAAUUCCUGGUGUAGCGGUGAAAUGCGCAGAUAUCAGGAAGAACACCGGUGGCGAAAGCGCUCUGCUAGGCCGCAACUGACACUGAGGGACGAAAGCUAGGGGAGCGAAUGGG